rnacentral:rRNA from 1 species
UGCGCAGGCGGAAUGAUUAGUCAGUGGUGAAAGCCCUCGGCUCAACCGAUGAACUGCCAUUGAUACUGUCAUUCUUGAGUACAGUUGUAGUGGGCGGAAUGUGUCAUGUAGCGGUGAAAUGCAUAGAGAUGACACAGAACACCGAUCGCGAAGGCAGCUCACUAAGCUGAAACUGACGCUCAGGCACGAAAGCGUGGGUAGCAAACAGGAUUAGAUACCCUGGUAGUCC